UGAGGAAUAUUGGGCAAUGCCCGCAAGGGUGACCCAGCAACGCCGCGUGGAGGAUGAAUGUCGUAAGAUUGUAAACUCCUGUUAGAGGGGAAGAAUAGUACCGGUUGGACCGGUAUAUGACUGUACCCUCAGAGAAAGCCCCGGCUAACUACGUGCCAGCAGCCGCGGUAAUACGUAGGGGGCAAGCGUUGUCCGGGUUUACUGGGUGUAAAGGGCGCGCAGGCGGGAUAAAAAGUCAGUGGUGAAAUCCUACAGCUUAACUGUAGAACUGCCUUUGAUACUUUUAUUCUUGAGUUCGGGAGAGAGAGACGGAAUUCCAGGUGUAGUGGUGAAAUACGUAGAUAUCUGGAAGAACACCAGUUGCGAAGGCGGUCUCUUGAUCCGACACUGACGCUGAGGCGCGAAAGCGUGGGGAGCAAACA
rnacentral:rRNA from 1 species